rnacentral:rRNA from 1 species
UACGAAGGGGGGCUAGCGUUGCUCGGAAUCACUGGGCGUAAAGCGCACGUAGGCGGAUCUUUAAGUCAGAGGUGAAAUCCCAAGGCUCAACCUUGGAACUGCCUUUGAUACUGGGGAUCUCGAGUCCGGAAGAGGUGAGUGGAACUGCGAGUGUAGAGGUGAAAUUCGUAGAUAUUCGCAAGAACACCGGUGGCGAAGGCGGCUCACUGGUCCGGUACUGACGCUGAGGUGCGAAAGCGUGGGGAGCAAACAGG